CGGCGCACGGGUGAGUAACACGUGGGUAAUCUACCUCGAGGAUUGGAAUAACAUGUCGAAAGACGUGCUAAUGCCAAGUAAGUUUUUCGAAUCGUAAUGAUUUGAUCUAGAAAGGUGGCGCAAGCUACCGCCUUGAGAUGAGCCUGCGCUCCAUUAGCUAGUUGGUGAGGUAAAAGCUUACCAAGGCUACGAUGGAUAGCUGGUCUGAGAGGAUGACCAGCCACACUGGAACUGAAACACGGUCCAGACUCCUACGGGAGGCAGCAGUAGGGAAUAUUGCGCAAUGGGGGAAACCCUGACGCAGCCACGCCGUGUGAGUGAGGAAGGCCUUCGGGUCGUAAAGCUCUGUCAUUUGGGAAGAAACUCCAUCCGGGGAAAGUUCGGGUGGAUUGACGGUACCAAAGAAGGAAGCACCGGCUAACUCUGUGCCAGCAGCCGCGGUAAUACAGAGGGUGCAAGCGUUGUUCGGAAUUACUGGGCGUAAAGCGUCUGUAGGCGGUGCUGAGAGUCCUAGGUGAAAUCCCCGAGCUUAACUCGGGAACUGCCUCGGAGACCUCAGUACUUGAGUACGAAAGGGGUUGCUGGAAUUCCAUGUGUAGCGGUGAAAUGCGUAGAUAUAUGGAGGAACACCUGUGGCGAAGGCGGGCAACUGGUUCGAGACUGACGCUGAGAGACGAAAGCGUGNGGAGCAAACAGGAUUAGAUACCCUGGUAGUCCACGCCGUAAACGAUGCA
rnacentral:rRNA from 1 species